UUCGUUUCAUUCCGUCCAGUGUUGCAGAAUGUCGAUGGAAUUGGAAACAGUGUUGCACGGCGUCACCCGACCUCCCUUGGAAAGCUACGAAGAACAGAAAACGGAACCGGAAUCGGAUUCGGAAUCUGAUUCGGAACCGGAACCAAUUGAUUGGGACUGGGUAUCGAAACCAAUUGAAUAUCUUCAGGACAAGUAUGAAGAUGACCCUAUUCCCCGCUAUUUUUCGUGUACGCGCUUUGUUUAUAAGAAUAGAGUCGUGAGAGAAAAAGAAGAGGCUGAAGAAAAGGCCGUCGCUGAGUAUUUGAAGACCGCUCUUAACAUAAGUCCCUUCGAUGCUAUCCCUAUUCCACCUUUAGCAAAUAUAUUUGGCCAUAACUGGCCCAGACCCGUUCCUAUAGACGAUCACGAGCAGCCACUUCUCAUUCGACUCUCCAAGUGUGCUUUGGAAAAGUACAACAAGGACAAUCAGGGUUUGAAGUACGAGUUUAAGGUGCUUGUCAAGGCAGCCAUAAGUCAUAUUCCUUUAGGCAGCUACUACAUUACCUUCAAAGCAACACCAAAACCAGAAGAUGUUCAUCCUUCCAACACGUCUGCUACCACUUUCCAGGCCCACGUCUGUGACUGUAGGCCUGAACCUGUGAUCAAGUCAUGUUCCAUUAAAACCUAACACACACACACCAUGGCUCUAUAAAAUUCCUGGCUCCGCCACUGCUCAUCCGGUUACCGCCGCAUCACCAGGAACAGUGAAGCUACAGCAACAAAGGUUCUUGCUGCGGAAAAUUAACGGGAUAUAGUAGAGUUUUGCUAGCAAGAAGGUUUGGUUCUUUUGGCUUAUGAGAUGAAUGCUUUCAGCCCAGCCGGAACAUGGUCCAGUGGUCCACACACCCAGUACCAAGAGAAUGAAGGGAUCAUAUAUUCGGAUGGUGAGGUUUUGGCAAGACGGAAAUGAACAUACAAGUGAGUGUCGCAUUAGAUUGAUGAAGGAGAUGACAGUGCAGGUAGGUAUACACAAUGGAGAAGGAGAUGAUACACCGAUACUGAUAUUGCAGAUAGAACGAUAGAAUGAAGAGGGCGAGGGUUCACGUGCACAUUUUAAGUGAGUUAAUGAGAGCCUUUAGAUUAAAUAAGAUUGAUGGUUGAGAUUUGGUGUCAACGAAUUCGUUGACACCUGGUA